AAGAAAGACUUUUUAACCAAGUUUUAUAUCCAUUUUUGUUUAGAAUUUUAAGACUUCUAAAGAAUGUCAGGAACUGGGCUGUGUUUUUCCAAGUGCUUAUUUAAAAGUUGAUAAAGUGGUUUGAAGUGUACAGGGCCCUGAUUUCUAUAUAUAGCACAAGAAGGUAAUAAGUAUGUAGUGGGUAAAUAAACUAUCACAGGCAGGAACAAGUCUUAAUGCCUCCUUAAAGACCAUGCACAGUAAACAUGCAAAAACGCAUAGCAGUCCUCAGUGCUCUAGAUCCAGUGCAGUUUCUAGCUGCUGAUAGUUUCACUUUACAAGUGCUUUACAGCCUCGAGGCGUCAUAAUUUUAUUGUAAAUUCUGUACCUUUGGAAUAGAUAUGUGGCCUGGAGCACAUAUCACUGUAUGAGUGCACCUAUUGUACUGGCUGGCAGGCUGGCUCAGUGUAGGCCCGACUUACACUGCAGGGCACAGAUCUGCCUGCCCUCGUGCUUCUUUUCUCUCAGCCUACGUGUGCACUCGUUGUCGGGGAGGAGCUAUUGUGCUGUUUUAUUCUUUUUACUCAUGUUCUAGUUUAACAGGCUGGGGAGGGCUCUGGUGUACUUUUGGCAUCCGCUCCGUCUGGCAUGUGGACUUUCAGUGGGCAUUCUUAAAUGCAGUUCCAUAGCAUAGUAAUAAGACACAGGAAAACAGCUUUCUCCUUCUAGAAGAAAACAAUUUUCUCUGUGCUUUAUAAUACAAAUUAAAGAAAAGACCUGUUAGGAAAUUGUGAUUUUUAUUUUUCUAAAAUUUUCUUAAAUCUAGGUAGAAAUUUGGACAUUGGUCCAGUAUAGACUGAAAGUUUUAAUGCUUUGAGCUUUAAUCUGGGUUGUGGUGGUUCAUGCUGUUAGUCCCAGCACUGGGAGGCAGAGGCAGAGGCAGAGGCAGAGGCAGGUAGAGCUCUUGAGUUUGGAACCGGCCUGGUUUAUAGGGUGAGUUCCAGGGCUGUUGCAGAGAAGCAGCUCUGUUGUCUCAAAAAAAACAAAACAAAACAAACAUUGAGCUUCAGUUGGAUUGUUUAUAUUAGUUUUUAUCUCACUGGAAAUGAAAAUAGCACAUAUUAACAGCAAUAUUACCACAGAUCACAGUGUGCUAGAAAAAUGCCAUAUGGUUAUAAAGAUCAGGGCAAACUGUUAGAACACUGGGGUGAUGGACUGACUUCCUAGACUGAGGAGAGCCUACAGCGGGCCGCUGCAUCCCUACAUCGUUAGAAUUACCUGAGCCUUUGCCGUAGGCGUUAAUGUACAGAGGGAAGCUCUGGAGAAGGGAAGCUAAGGAGUCAGGAGACAGGGCUGAGUGUAGCUCACUCGGGGCGCUUUCCCAGCUGCCUGGGGCCUGGCCUCCAUCAGCACUGCCAACAGAAGACAGGAGUGAGUCUGAAAAUGCCAGAAGUAUAAGUGCCAGGAUACGGGAAAUGGUUUCUCCUUGUCAUUUGACAGCUGAUAGGCAGCGGGACUGAUUACUCUACCGCUCUACUGUUCAUGAAUAGCAGAUGUCUAGUUCAUUGGUUGGUUUUAAGUAACUUCUUGGUAACUAACUGUGUUUUGGUAUAUACCACAUGCUCAUUUGUAUAAAUUUGGAAAUGCAAACACUCAGGCCUUGGACUUAAACCAGGUCUUCAAAUCUCAGUUCUUGUUAAGUCUUACACCUUGGGCAAGUUACUAGUCAGCUUUCUCACCAUUGAAUGGGGGUCGUCCUAUUAUGUAGUUUGAUAAUAGGGCAUUUGUAGUCAGCCCCUUUA
rnacentral:lncRNA from 1 species